CUGAACCUUCGGGGCAGGGUGAAAUUCCCUACCGGCGGUGACGGCGCCUACGGCGUCGAAGCCCGCGACUCCCGCUUCCCCCUGUGGAAGUGGGACUGACUUGGUGUAAGUCCAAGGCCGACGGUAUAGUCCGGAUGAGAGAAGGUUUAA
rnacentral:ncRNA from 2 species